GGGGAUUUAGCUCAGUGGCAUAAGUGCCUGCCUUGCAAGCAGUUGAGUUCAAUCCCCG
rnacentral:tRNA from 1 species